UGGCUUUACACACGCGCGCGCACACACACACAGUGAUUGUAGUGCAUUUUGGAGUUGUUCUCUGUGAAGAGGAACCCUCUUCAGGGUCAGGUGGAAUAGUUAACAGAGCUUCUAAAAAUAUUCACCAAGCUCUGGAGGGCUCGAGAGUUGGCGGAGACCGCAGAAAAGCGGUCGGCCACUUCGGCAUGGAAGUGAUUUUCAAAAGCUAAAAGAGGACGAGGAGGAUUGACGUCUGCUUAAUGUAAGAUACGCCAAUGUCAGCCCGUCUGCGAUCGGGAAGGAGAGAAAUGAAGGAAAAUCUCUGCCGCCCUGGCGGUGUCAUUUCCACACACUUCGGUUGGCCGCCUGCCAGCAGACAGGACAUUCAAAAGAGGUGGAGUGGACUUCUGCGUUGAGCGAGAAGAGGAGCCGAACGCACCGGUCACGGACGGCAGCAGCACGGAUGACCAUUGUCAACCCUCUGUUUACGUGCAAUAAGCAAUAGGUAGCUCAUAAAACCCAACCCGAUAUAUACGUUUUAUGUCUAAGGAAUAUAUGGGGAACCAGAAAAUAAAAAGUUAAUAAACAAAAUGUUUCAUUUCAAAUAAAAUCGC